UACAGGGGGGGCGAAGCGUUGUUCGGAAUUGACUGGGGUCGGUAAAGGGCCAGUAGGCGGCCAACUAAGUCACACGAUGAAAUCCCCCCAGGCUUAACCUGGGGAACUGCGUGUGAUACUGGAUGGCUUGAAUUCGGGAGAGGGAUGGCGAGAAUUCCAGGUGUGAGACGGUGAAAUGCGUAGAUAUCUGGAGGAAUACCGGUGGCGAAGGCGGGCAUCCUGGACCGACAUUGACGCUGAACG
rnacentral:rRNA from 1 species